AGCAAGUUCACGGGGAAAAAUACAACUGCAUUUUGUUUAGCAGAGCACGUAGCACGACGGAAACAUCUAGUUAUCAGAACCACAAACUGCGUACUUGGAAAUAGAAUCCAAAUUCCUGCAACAAGUCUAAAAAAAUGGAAUUUCUAUUUGUUUAUUUCUAGCUUUUAAUAUUUGCGAAAACGUUUCCAUCUUAUGCACGACGAGCUGUUUGUGGUUGUUAGAAAUAGGAUUACUGCAGGUUUUUCGAGUGGAUAGAGCAACAUACCACCAACACCUCUCAAAUAACGGACAAGUUACAAUAAUCAUCACGGAGGAAUUCCUAAAAAGUUUCAGGAGUGGCACAGAAUGGAUGUACUCAAAAAAUGGAGAAGAAGUGUUGUUCCAUUUCUACAAAGUUAAUUAUGAUAACAAAAGAAAUGUGGAAACGCCAUUGUGUGAGCAUCCAUUUUCCAUUUGACGCAACACAUGUAUGAAUUAAUAAAACACAGCUCCAAUAAAGAAUACAUCAUU